UGGGGAAUAUUGGACAAUGGGCGCAAGCCUGAUCCAGCCAUGCCGCGUGAGUGACGAAGGUCUUCGGAUUGUAAAGCUCUUUUGCCAGGGACGAUAAUGACGGUACCUGGAGAAUAAGCCCCGGCUAACUUCGUGCCAGCAGCCGCGGUAAUACGAAGGGGGCUAGCGUUGUUCGGAAUUACUGGGCGUAAAGCGCACGUAGGCGGAUUUGUUAGUCAGGGGUGAAAUCCCGGGGCUCAACCUCGGAACUGCCUUUGAUACUGCAAGUCUAGAGUCCGGAAGAGGUGAGUGGAAUUCCUAGUGUAGAGGUGAAAUUCGUAGAUAUUAGGAAGAACACCAGUGGCGAAGGCGGCUCACUGGUCCGGUACUGACGCUGAGGUGCGAAAGCGUGGGGAGCAAACA
rnacentral:rRNA from 1 species